AUACGUAGGUGGCAAGCGUUGUCCGGAUUUACUGGGUAUAAAGGGCGUGUAGGCGGAGAUGCAAGUCAGGAGUGAAAUCUAGGGGCUCAACCCCUAAACUGCUUUUGAAACUGUAUCCCUUGAGUAUCGGAGAGGCAGGCGGAAUUCCUAGUGUAGCGGUGAAAUGCGCAGAUAUUAGGAGGAACACCAGUGGCGAAGGCGGCCUGCUGGACGACAACUGACGCUGAGGCGCGAAAGCGUGGGGAGCAAACAGGAUUAGAUACCCUGGUAGUCCACGCUGUAAACGAUGAAUACUAGGUGUGGGGGGACUGACCCCCUCCGUGCCGCAGUUAACACAAUAAGUAUUCCACCUGGGGAGUACGAUCGCAAGAUUGAAACUCAAAGGAAUUGACGGGG
rnacentral:rRNA from 1 species